rnacentral:rRNA from 1 species
UGACCUAGUGGCGGAUGGGUGAGUAACGCGUGAGCAACCUACCUUUCAGAGGGGGAUAACGUAUGGAAACGUACGCUAAUACCGCAUAAGAUAGUACUACCGCAUGGUACAGCAAUUAAAGGAGCAAUCCGCUAUGAGAUGGGCCCGCGGCGCAUUAGCUAGUUGGUGAGGUAACGGCUCACCAAGGCGACGAUGCGUAGCCGACCUGAGAAGGUAAUCGGCCACAUUGGAACUGAGACACGGUCCAAACUCCUACGGGAGGCAGCAGUGGGGAAUAUUGCACAAUGGGCGAAAGCCUGAUGCAGCAAUGCCGCGUGAGGGAUGAAGGCCUUCGGGUCGUAAACCUCUGUCCUUGGGGAAGAUAAUGACGGUACCCUUGGAGGAAGUCCCGGCUAACUACGUGCCAGCAGCCACGGUAACACGUAGGAGGCAAACGUUAUCCGGAUUCACUGGGCGUAAAGCGCGUGUAGGUGGUUCUGUAAGUAGGGCGUGAAAGCUCCCGGCUCAACUGGGAGAGGCCGUACUAAACUGCAGAGCUAGAGGAUGGUAGAGGGAGGUGGAAUUCCAGGUGUAGUGGUGAAAUGCGCAGAUAUCUGGAGGAACACCAGUGGCGAAGGCGGCCUCCUGGACCAUUCCUGACACUCAGACGCGAAAGCUAGGGUAGCAAACGGAAUUAGAGACUCCGGUAGUCCUAGCCCUAAACGAUGCAGACUAGGCGUCGGCGGUUUAAUCACCGUCGGUGUCCAAGCUAACGCGAUAAGUCUGCCGCCUGAGGACUACGGCCGCAAGGCUAAAACUCAAAGGAAUUGACGGGUCCCCGCACAAGCAGCGGAGCGUGUGGUUUAAUUCGAUGCUCCGCGAAGAACCUUACCUGGGUUUGACAUAACAGUGGUAGAGAAGUGAAAACGGAUCGACCCUUCGGGGAGCUGUUACAGGUGUUGCAUGGCUGUCGUCAGCUCGUGUCGUGAGAUGUUCGGUUAAGUCCGCUAACGAGCGCAACCCGCGCUGUGUGUUACAAGUGUCACACAGUACCGCCGGUAUUAAGUCGGAGGAAGGUGCGGAUGACGUCAAGUCAGCAUGACCUUUAUAUCCAGGGCUACACACACGCUACAAUGGUCAGAACAAUAGGUUGCCAAGCCGCAAGGCGGAGCCAAUCCUCCAAAUCUGGCCUCAGUUCAGAUUGCAGGCUGCAACUCGCCUGCAUGAAGUCGGAGUUGCUAGUAACCGCAGGUCAGCAUACUGCGGUGAAUACGUUCCCGGGGAUUGUACUCACCGCCCGUCAAG